CAGAAAACUUCAUAAAUUAAAAACAAGGGAAGAAUGGUGUAAUGUGUGCAGUGUGUUAUCUUUAUUAUCUGCUGGCUCACAUCUAAGUUAUUAAAGUAAAGGAAAUCUCUCAAGGCCUCCAUUUUAACUUAAAACCUACUUUAUACAUCACUCCCAAAAUGAGUGAGGAGGAGAUCACUUACUCAACUGUGAGAUUUAAAAUAUCUUCAGAAGUACAGAACCAAGUGAGGCCUAAGGAGCCUCAAAGGACCAGAGAAGCUGUCCACAGAGGUAAGUGUUUUAAAUGUCUAAAAUUACUUGAUUUUUAUGCAUCUUAAAAAUUUAACAAUUUAAAAAUAUCCUACUGGUUUCUAUUGAAAUUCAUAAUUUUCGAAAACAUCUGGGCUUGAUUAUGCACAAGGGUAGAAGGGAAUCAGAAGUAUUAGUUGGAGGGUAAUCAAGUACAAAAUUGUUCAAAACUAAGUUUAAAGUAUAAAGCAGUCAAGUUUUAAAAUUAAAAAAAGAAAGAAUUG
rnacentral:lncRNA from 1 species